CCGGGGGAAAUUCUAGAGGCUAAUCCAUGUGAAAAAUCCCCGACUUCGGAAAGGGAUGUGUUUAUUUAAAAAAAAAACCCAAUGCCCCUCGGGGGUUUUUGGUGAAUCCAUGAUAACUUUUACGGAUCGCAUAGCCUUGCGCCGGGGGACGGGUCAUUUCAAAUUUUUGCCCUAUCAAACUUUUCGAUGGUAAAGGUAUUGGCUUUCCAUGGUUUCAAACGGGUAACGGGGAAUUAGGGGUUUGAUUCCGGAGAGGGAGCCUGAGAAAACGGCUACCACAUCCAAGGAAGGCAGCAGGCGCGCAAAUUACCCAAUCCCGACACGGGGAGGUAGUGACAAUAAAUACUGAUACAGGGCUCUUUUGGGUCUUGUAAUUGGAAUGAGUACAAUUUAAACCUCUUAACGAGGAACAAUUGGAGGGCAAGUUUGGUGCCAGCAGCCGCGGUAAUUCCAGCUCCAAUAGCGUAUAUUAAAGUUGUUGCAGUUAAAAAGCUUGUAGUUGAAACUUGGGCCUGGCUGGCGGGUCCGCCUCACCGCGUGCACUCGUCCGGCCGGGCCUUCCUUUUGAAGAACCUCAUGCCCUUCACUGGGCGUGCUGGGGAAUCAGGACUUUUACUUUGAAAAAAUUAGAGUGUUCAAAGCAGGCCUUUGCUCGAAUACGUUAGCAUGGAAUAAUAAAAUAGGGCGUGCGUUUCUAUUUUGUUGGUUUCUAGAGACGCCGCAAUGAUUAACAGGAACAGUCGGGGGCAUCAGUAUUCAGUUGUCAGAGGUGAAAUUCUUGGAUUUACUGAAGACUAACUACUGCGAAAGCAUUUGCCAAGGAUGUUUUCAUUAAUCAGUGAACGAAAGUUAGGGGAUCGAAGACGAUCAGAUACCGUCGUAGUCUUAACCGUAAACUAUGCCGACUAGGGAUCGGGCGAUGUUCUUUUUCUGACUCGCUCGGCACCUUACGAGAAAUCAAAGUUUUUGGUUUCUGGGUGUGUUAUUGACGAAAG
rnacentral:rRNA from 1 species